GCCGGCGUGGCGCAAUGGUAGCGCGUAGCUUUCCUAUCAUCUCAUUUAGUUAGGCUGAAGUUGCGGGUUCGAUCCCCGUCGUCGGUU